ACAGAGCUACCAUGAGGCUCUGAUCUGGCCUAAGAAAAAAGGGGCAAGACAGUACACUCACUGCACUCAUGGGACUAAGAGGAAACACUCCCCUUGCAGCACACAUCAAGUCCUCCCAAGUACAGGGUCGCCACGCUGACAGGCCACCAGCUGGCAACAGCACUGAGCAGCCGGAGGAAGAGUGGUGGGGAAAACGGCACUACCCUGCUUACAGGGUGGUCGUGAGGUUCAGUGAGCUCCAUUUCCCACUCGGGUGCAGAGAGGUGGCUCUCUCCCUCCUUACAGGGGACCACACACCCCAGGCAGCCAAAGGAGCACCAAGGCAAAAGCUCAACUACAGCAAAGACCUGAGCCCUGCUUACAGGGAGGUCACCCAGCACAUAUCAGACCUGGCCACCCAAGGUGCUGGCAACAUUCCCUUGCAGUAUGACUAAGCCCUGCAGCUCCUGAAAAUGAAAGUCACCAUCAGACCUGAGCAGCACCAAGUCGCCCACCUGCAGCAAAACAGGAACCCAGCAACCUGAGGGAGCUCCACACACACAGCCAUGCAGCCAAGAAUGAGUUCACCCAUCCCUGCUGCGCCAUCACCGUCUGCCCCCGAUGUCGUGGGCCAGCAGAAUAAAGCACCCAACAAAGCCAGAGGAUGUGUGACCGAUGGACUAACGAGAAAGGGGCGUCGAGGAUCUGAGUAUUAUGGGCUUAAUUCCCCCGGUAUCAUCUAUGCAGGCACCAAAUCUUGACUAUUUUUCCACAUAUUUGUUUUCAUUUGUUUUUAACAGAUAAGUUGCUCAUAAUACGCAUUUAUCACAUCUCUCUAUAUUUUAUUAUCCAAGAAAGAAAAAGCAGAUGAUUCGUUGUUUGGAAGACGUAAAUGUAUUUACACUUUGAGGAGCUGUGUUGUCAGCCUCUGAAACACAAGCAAAUUUUGGCUCAGCAAGGAACACCCAAUGCCCAUUGGCUUCUGCAGCAAGGAGGGAGGGAACUGCACCUCCAGGGUGAAAUGCCUGCUCUAGCAGAUUGCCUCCAUUCAAGGGAAGAUCAAAGGCAAACACCGUUUCCUUCUGUGUCCUGAAGUGUUUCUUCCUUUGUGUCGUCCAGUGAAAAAACAACUGAGUUGACCUUUGAAUUUUUUUUUACCUCUGAUAAAGUUUAAGAUUUGCUGUAUGAAAGUACAUGCAAUAUGUUGCUUUUAAUACCAGAUGCUUUAAUCCUCAUUUGAGGCAUUCUGUGUAAUACUUUCUGCCUUCAGGCCCAUCCGGAUUUGUACUUCAGGAAGUUGUCUAAUGCAGAGUUUUGCAUCAAAGGGAAUGUAAAGAAACAUACAGGAAAAAUCCUGCAAUUUCAAUAAAACAAUAAUGACC
rnacentral:lncRNA from 1 species